UACGGGGGGGGCAAGCGUUGUUCGGAAUUACUGGGCGUAAAGCGUGCGCAGGCGGUGAUGUAAGACAGUUGUGAAAUCCCCGGGCUCAACCUGGGAACUGCAUCUGUGACUGCAUUGCUGGAGUGCGGCAGAGGGGGAUGGAAUUCCGCGUGUAGCAGUGAAAUGCGUAGAUAUGCGGAGGAACACCGAUGGCGAAGGCAAUCCCCUGGGCCUGCACUGACGCUCAUGCACGAAAGCGUGGGGAGCAAACAGG
rnacentral:rRNA from 1 species